UCUCUGCACUGAGGAGCCUGCUUGGAAUUCUCUCUCUCUCCCUUUGUCUGCUCCUUCCACUCACUCUCUCAAAAUAAAUAAUACAAAAUAAGAUCACCCUGGUUGCAAUGUGGAGAAAAGUUUGAGGAAGGAGAGCUUGGAGAAAGAAGACCAGUGAGGAGCUUUGACGCAACUCCAGCUGAGAAAUAAUUGCAAGAAAAAAGAGAUUUUAAAAAUACAGAAUGGUUUGAUGACUAACCAGAGCUAAAGAUAGAAGGAGUCACAGGUGUCUAGAUUUCUACCUUGGGUGGCCACGGUAGUGCUUUUUUUCUGAGCUAGGAAACACAAAGCAGUGUGGGUGAGGCAGGAAAGAUUAUGAACAUCCUGAAGGGAAGAAUCAUUAUUUUCUUCACAUAAUGUGUGUCUUAGCUGGAGCUGCUAUACCAAAAUGCCAUCAAGUGGUGAAUGGAAUUAUCUCCAUUGGCAACUAUGCACCAAAAACCCAUAGAAGGUCCCACCUUCGUGCUAUCUGCAGAUGCAAGAAUGGUUGAGGCCUCAGAUCCCAGCUCCUACUACAGUGAGAAAAAGAGAACUAAUGGUAGCCCUUAAUGGUGCACAUGAGCAUAGCAAUCCCCAGUUCACCAAGUGCUUUUAAUUCGUUUCAGUCCAUUCUCCCACCAUCAGUAGUAAGAGAUAGGAAGAAGGGCAGUGUGGCAAAGGACAAAGAAGCAGACCCACGUCACCUAGGCUGAGAUGCCAACUCCACCUUUGUAAGCUGGGUGACCUCAAGCAGUGACAUCGUCUCCUCCAGCCAUUAUGAAGAUAAAAGGAAAUGUACAUGACACAUCUCGCAGGGUGGUAUGUGCGGUGACUGGGUUGCUGGUAUAGUGGCCGUCCCAGUUCUGCGGAUAUGGACAUGGCUCAAUGGAAGUCAUGAAAAAACUGUAAGCAAGAGCUGAGACUUUCUGAGAGAUCUCCAGAUGAGGAACUGAGGCUUGUUGAAACUUCUCUUGGUUCUCUCUGGUCAAAGAGAGAGCCUAGAAGAAUCGAAGAAACCUCUGGCUGAAUAUUGGUCGGGCAUAGGGUGAGCCAAGAUCUCCUUAUACAUGGUACUGGGAGCCACCUUUCUGUCCAGGAGCUAAAGAAGACACUAGCCACCCAGAGUGACCUUCCUUGUUCCUGCUGCUUCAAUGCACAAACAGGUUGUGAAACAUCUGGGCGGUGACUCAGCCUGGGGGCCUGUUCUGCUGGUCAGCUCAGACGGGCUAGGGCUGUUUGGUUGAGCCUCGAAAGGACAUCCUGUCUAACAAACACAUUGCCUGUCAAAGCCCUGACAGGGGGUGCCAAGCACAGACUGUGAACUCUAGCCCCUGAGGCGUCACAGAUGAUUGAACUGGGGUGCCUGAGUUGUAUACAACAUCUCCUUGUUGUUAUUCUGACCUAAUAACCAACCAGGGUCAAUGUCAUGAAGAGGGAAACGUAUUAGAGGCUGGGGAGCUCCUAUUUCUCAAGAGGCAGUUUGAAAUUGAUAGCCAGGUCCUGGGCUUUUGGUGUCCCCGUUAGGCAGACCUGAGUUCAGAUCCUAGCUCUGCUGUUUAUUGUCCUUGUGAGCUUGGACAGGUGGUUUACUCUUGGUGGAUUUCAAUUUCCUUAUUCUAUAAAAUGCCCAUUUUUUCAAAAUUAUCUUUUAGAAAUAAAAGAUGUAAAUUUCUUGAAACAUAGGAAAUUCUCCAUAAAUUGUUACUAGGAUCCUGUGCCAAGGUCUUCCUCUUCCUCUACUCCAAACCAAAAUUUUCCCUUCUGAACUGAAAGGAUUUAUAUUGAAGAGGCACUCAGGCAGAAGUGGUAAGAUAGCAACCAGAUAUACUCAAGCCAGGUUUUUUCAUUGCUAUUCCAUUGGUUAAUGGAUUUAUUUCCUAAUAUUAGAAUCAAGGAGUCUGGUAGACUGAAAAUUGGUUCCCCAAAAUAUUCAGAUCCUAAUCUGGAACUGGUCAAUGUUACCUUGUAUGGCAAAAGCGACUUCGUAGAAGUGAUUAAAUUAAGGAUGUUAAGAUUAUCUGGGUGUGCCCUAAAUGUAAGCACGGGAAUCUUUAAGCGCGAAUGAGCGGGGGAGGGGCAGAGAGAGAGACAGAGACACAGAAUCCAAAGCAGGCUCCAGGCUCUAAGCUGUCAGCAC